rnacentral:rRNA from 1 species
UACGGGGGGGGUAAGCGUUGUUCGGAAUCACUGGGCGUAAAGGGCGUGUAGGCGGCUGGAUAAGUGGGAUGUUAAAUCCCCCGGCUCAACCGGGGACCUGCAUCUCAUACUGUUCAGCUCGAGCACAUCAGAGGAGACUGGAAUUCCCGGUGUAGCGGUGAAAUGCGUUGAUCUACAGAGGAACACCAAAAAAGGCGAAGGCAGUCAACUAUUCUGUUCCUGACAUUGAGGCAUGAAAGCGUGGGGAGCAAACCGG